rnacentral:rRNA from 1 species
UACGGGGGGGGCAAGCGUUGUUCGGAAUUACUGGGCGUAAAGGGCUCGUAGGCGGCCAACUAAGUCAGACGUGAAAUCCCCAGGCUUAACCUGGGAACUGCGUCUGAUACUGGAUGGCUUGAAUUCGGGAGAGGGAUGCAGAAUUCCAGGCGUAGCGGUGAAAUGCGUAGAUAUCUGGAGGAAUACCGGUGGCGAAGGCGGCAUCCUGGACCGACAUUGACGCUGAGGAGCGAAAGCUAGGGGAGCAAACGGG